CAAUAGCGUAUAUUAAAGUUGUUGCAGUUAAAAAGCUCGUAGUUGGAUUUCUGGUUGAAGCGACCGGUCGGGCGUUGAUUCGUCUGCACUGGAGUCGGUUUUGGCCAUCCUCUAGGAAAGUGCGUCUGGGAUUAAGUUAUCGGGCGUAUGAUCCUGGUCUUUUACUGUGAAAAAAUUAGAGUGUUUAAAGCAGGCCUUCGCCUUGAAUACAUUAGCAUGGAAUAAUAAGAUAGGACUUUGGUCUAUUUUGUUGGUUUGCAGACCGAAGUAAUGAUUAAUAGGGAUAGUUGGGGGUAUUUAUAUUCCGAUGUCAGAGGUGAAAUUCUUAGAUUUUCGGAAGAUAAACUUAUGCGAAAGCAUUUACCAAGGAUGUUUUCAUUAA
rnacentral:rRNA from 1 species